GUGAGUUCCUCGGAAGCUGGGUGUGGUGGUACACGCUUGCAUGCCUGUAAUCCCAGCACUUGGACGGUGGAGGCACAAGACGAAUCAGGAGUUCAAGGCCAGCCUCUGCCAUAUGAAGCUGUAUCAUAAGCAAGCCAAUGUUUUAUUGCUAUUCUCUUGCAGAGACCACAUGCUUACCUACCUACUUAAAAAGGAACUACUUUGUGGGCUGGGGAGAUGGCUCAGCUAGUGAAUGCCUUCUGUGAAAGCAGAAGUUCAGAUUGUUAGCACUCAUAAAGAUCUAUCUAGCUAGAGCAGCAUGUGUCGGUGACAUACAUUCACAUGUACACAUACAACAAUAACACAUACACACGCAACACACACAUACACACACGCAUACAGCACACACACAAAGACAUACAUACAUAGCACUCACAGCACACACACAUACAGCACACACACAAAGACACAUACAUACAUAGCACUCACAGCACACACACAGCACACACACAAAGACACAUACAUACAUAGCACAUACAACACACACACAUACAGCACACACACAAAGACACAUACAUACAUAGCACUCACAGCACACACACAUACAGCACACACACAAAGACACAUACAUGCAUAGCACAUACAGCACACACGCAUACAGCACACACACAAAGACACAUACAUACAUAGCACUCACAGCACACACACAUACAGCACACACACAAAGACACAUACAUACAUAGCACUCACAGCACACACACAGCACACACACAAAGACACAUACAUAGCACAUACAACACACACAUACAGCACACACACAAAGACACAUACAUACAUAGCACUCACAGCACACACACAGCACACACACAAAGACACAUACAUAGCACAUACAACACACACAUACAGCACACACACAAAGACACAUACAUACAUAGCACUCACAGCACACACACAUACAGCACACACACAAAGACACAUACAUGCAUAGCACAUACAGCACACACACAUACAGCACACACACAAAGACACAUACAUACAUAGCACAUACA
ensembl:lncRNA